UAUCUAAAGACAUCUUGGCUUUGCUGUCGGACCCACCACUGAUUACUGCAUUUGUGAUUGGUGCAGCCCUCUCAGCCACCAUCAGUUGAAUCUUCCUGUGUUUGACAGGGAAAUGUAAAAAACGCAAAGAGAGGACCCCAGACUCCAAAAGCCCUUUUAUAAACCUGGAGUUGGUGACUUGAAGACCAACAGACAGAUGCAGGACAGGCUGUGGGGGGCAAACAGACACCUCUGCAGGUGGAGCUGAGGGAGGGAGCUGAAAAUGGAGGGCCCCAGACCAGUGGUGCUGCAGGACACUGUCACAGGGGAAGAACUAAAAGAGGUGGACUACGCCAGUAUCAACUACUCCCUACUGACGAAGACUCCUGAGGAGGCAGAGAAGAAGACCACCAACACAGAGUCAGACUAUGCUGAAAUCAAACGAGAGAAGAAGAAUGAGGGGGAGGGCAGUGGCGUGAUGGAUCCGGAAGAAGAGCAGGAAGGGGAAGAGAUGAUGGGGAAGUAGCAAGGGGACGGUAAGCCAGUACAAGAGACAGAUGAGGAUGCAGUGCUUUACUCCAACGUCAAGGCUAUUAUGGGUAGAGAGUGACACAGCAAUUUGGCUAGAAAAAGUUGUGGAUAGCACACAGUACUAUGGCUUUUAUUAUACACCCAUGUGGUGUUCUCAUUUUUUGAAUCCAGAUUGAAUAUUUUAUGAGGCUGGAACUUUUGUUCAAAUGUAACUGCUGUAGUUUAUAGUGUUGGUGUUGUUUGCUCAUGAGCUGAUUGCAGUUUGAAUGUUUUAUGAUGAUACAGAGACUUUGUUAAACUGAAACUACUGUAGGUAAUAGUUUUGGUAAUGCUUUAUUUUCCAGCCCUUUGUCACCCGAUACCUAGUGGUUGUAAUGUUUAAUACGAUUUGUUGCUAGUUGCACAUAGAAACAAGUAUUUUUUUGUUUGUCUCGUAAAUGUUUAUGGAAGUUAAUGUAAUAUUACUUUUGAAGUUAUUCUGUUUUUGUGUCAUCAUGGGGAAGGACUGACAAAGACGUGGUUUGGAGAAGAGCAGUCAAACCAUUUCUCGUUUUUCUCCUCUGUCCUUUCUUGUUUUUGCAUUUUGAUUUAAACCUAAACCUAUAUAUUGAGUCACUACCUUACUUUUGAUGGUUGUGUGUAUUUUAGUUGU